rnacentral:lncRNA from 1 species
CCGGGCACGCGGCCCAACCCCUCCGGCCCUGGCCACCCCCAAAUCCCUCCUCCGCCCCACACCCCCUCCGGGUCAUUAGGUCCCCGCCCCUCAACUCCCAGAGCACCAGCGGAACCUUGGGAUUUGGGGGUUGGAGGGGAGGGGCUCCUCCCUCCGCAGUCUCCCCCUUUCCCAGCGCCGUUCCUAAAAUCCAGCCUUGUUCUCCGCUCCCACGGUCCCCCCUUCAUUCCCCCCCCCCAUUCUCAGCAAGCUGGAGAGCAAAUUGCAGUUUUAAAUCCAAAGACCGAGGGAGGAGGAAGGAGGAGGGGGCGCGCGGCAGCGCUGGGCGCGCACCUCGCCCCCGAGCCGGGGGAGCUGCGGGGCGGCCAGGAAACCCGAGAACCCCCCCUCCCCGCCCCCCCUUCUCGUCCACCUCCCCCUCCCCCUUCCCGGCGCUGCCUGCCAGGCUUCGAGCCGAGCCCAGCCGAGCCGCGGGCCCCGGUGGAAACAAAGACCGAUCGCACCGCGGGCACCGCAGCCACCGGGUCCCGCGGACCGGACCGGGGCGCGCGGAGGGGGCGCGGGCCCCCCCACCCCCGGCGCGCUGCACAAAAGAGCCCGGCCGGCCGGUCCCCAGCGGGGUCUAGGGCUCGGGAGGAGGCGCCACUCACCGGAGUGCUGGGCUGCCGGCUCCGUGGGUCCGAGCCAGGCGAGGGGCUUUGGGGGGCGUCUGUCUUCCGGCGGCGGCAGCGACGCGGGCGCCCGGCUGCUGGGGAGAGGAGUCGUGGAGGAGCCCUGAGCCGCCCGCCGUUGCUGACAGCAUGGCUCGCGUCUCGGCUCACAUUCUCCGCCGCUAACUCCGCUGGACACGGCCCCCCGCUCCCGCGGCGCCCCCCCCACCUCGAUCACUCCUUCGCUCCCUGCGCCCCCCUCGCUCCCCCCGCCGCGCACACACUCUCACAGCCCUGGACACCCCCGCCCCCACCCCCCCAUUGCAAACCUGGGAGGGAACGCGCCCCGCGUAGUCCUCCUCCUGCUCCUCCUCCUCCGCCCUCCUCCCUCCCGCUCUCCGGCUGUCUGUCUGUCUCUCUGACUGUCUCUAUCUCUCGCUCUCUCUGCCUUUCUCUGCUUUCCGAGCUGGGUGGGAAAAGGAAAUGA